rnacentral:snRNA from 1 species
AACACCAUAACGUAGAGUGCUU